GAUUGACCUCGGAUCAGGUAGGGAUACCCGCUGAACUUAAGCAUAUCAAUAAGCGGAGGAAAAGAAACCAACAGGGAUUGCCUCAGUAACGGCGAGUGAAGCGGCAACAGCUCAAAUUUGAAAUCUGGGCCUCUUGGGCCCCGAGUUGUAAUUUGUAGAGGAUGUUUCGGGUGAGGUACCGUUCUAAGUUCCUUGGAACAGGGCGUCAUAGAGGGUGAGAAUCCCGUACGUGACCGGUGACCGAUCCCAUGUGAAACUCCUUCGACGAGUCGAGUUGUUUGGGAAUGCAGCUCAAAAUGGGUGGUAAAUUUCAUCUAAAGCUAAAUACUGGCCAGAGACCGAUAGCGCACAAGUAGAGUGAUCGAAAGAUGAAAAGCACUUUGGAAAGAGAGUUAAACAGUACGUGAAAUUGUUGAAAGGGAAGCGCUUGCAGCCAGACUCGCCCGGGGGUAAUCAACCGUUCUUCGGAUCGGUGCACUUCCCCCCGGUCGGGCCAGCAUCGGUUCGGGCGGUCAGAUAAAGGUUCUGGGAAUGUAGCUCCUCUCGGGGAGUGUUAUAGCCCAGGACGUAAUNUGNCCAGCCUGGACCGAGGACCGCGCUUU
rnacentral:rRNA from 1 species